rnacentral:lncRNA from 1 species
GUUUGUGACCUACAUAAUUUUUCUUCUUUCUAAAGAAUUUAUUUGAGGGCCAGGGAUUUAUCUCAGUGGUUCUGCCACCUGCUCAUAAGUGUAAGGUCCGGAGUUUGAUCCUGAAAAAAAAAAAAAAAAAAAGAAUUUAUUUGAAAUUUUCUUUCAAGGCAGGUAUAUUGCCAUCAAAUUCCCUCAGCUGUCUGAGAAAGAUGUUUAUUCUUUCACUUCUCCAUAUUACAAGGAAAAUUUUGCUAGUAAAGGCUUUGAGGCUUAGGAGAAGUCUUUUCUUUAAACAUUUUAAAUAUUUUAAUUCAUUCUCUUCUUGCUUGCAGUUUCUGAUGAGAACUGUGUUGUAGUUCUUUGCUUCAUCAAAAAGGUAACAUCCUCCCUCCAGAGUUUUUUACAAUAUUUUCUCUGUGUUUUAUUUUGCAGUUUGAAUAUGAUAUGCCUAGAUGUAGUUUUUGGCAUUUAUUUUAUUUGUUGUUUUUAAACUCCCUAGUUCUAUAAGUUUAUAUGUGUCAUUAAUUUUGGAAAAUUUUAGCUAUUUAGUACCUCAAAUAUGUCUUUUGCUCUUUUUCUGCUUCUAGUAUACCUGACUGCCCAAUGUGUCACCGGCCUCCUGCAGGUACUCAGCGGUGGGCGCCUGCCAACAGGAGCCCACUUGUCCAGGGCCACCUACGCUCUAAGGAGCCACCCAGGGUGGACCUCCAGAGGAUGUCACACUUUCUCCUGGGACUCCUGGAUGUCUGCAGGUGGGUGAACAGCGAGGGGUUAGGGAACUUGGAACUCUUCUUUCCCCCCACCUCUUUGGCCUGGCCACUGUCAACCCCAGUAUGGCUUCCAUCCUCCCAGAGGUUUUCAUCUUGUGUGGCAACCCAGGACACUUCCCGUGAACCACUGGUAAGGGGGCAAGGAGCGGGGAACUGCCUCAUCAGCCGAGGCCGUUUCCCUGUGUUGGGUUGCCAUUUGGGCUGGGAUCCUCAGGAGAGAAGGGCACUUCUCUCCUGGGCCUUGGAUGGGACAGGUAUAGUAAGUCCUGGGGCGGUGGGCCUGGGACUGCAGCAGUUUCCUGUGAGGCAGAUGAGAUGGAAGAGGCAGAGAAGAAUACAGCCCCCCACCCCCGUGUCCCUAACUCCCACCACUCUGCUUCUGGCAUGGCCCUUACUUUCUCUUUCAGAGAGGGGUCCAAACCUGCCUGCCUGUCAGCCAAGGAGGUGCUCAAGUGGAAAGCUGCUGUGUUCCAAGGGGGCCGUGAAUGUGGGCCUAGAUCCCAGCAGCGAAUGUCUGACUUCCUCCAGAACGGAACUACCAGUCUGCCCUUUGCUUCAAAUAGCCUAUUCAUCUCGGCAGAAAGACAGCCACACUUGCGGGACGCGGGGCGCAGACAGCAGGAGUCGGCUUCUUCCAGUGGGCCCACAUCUAACUGGCUUGGAAAAACUACAAAACAAAGGCUCUAAAAAAACUCUUGC